ACGGCUCAGUAACACGUGGUCAACCUGCCCGAAGGACAGCUAUAACCGCGGGAAACUGCGCUAAUGGCUGAUAGAAGAGGUGCCCUGGAACUGGGCCCUCUUUGAAAAGAUCCCGGCUCGAUCCUGUCGAGAUUGCCUUCGGAUGGGACUACGUCCGAUCAGGUUGUUGGCGGGGCAAUGGCCCACCAAGCCUAAGACCGGUACGGGCCCUGAGAGGGGUAGCCCGGAGAUGGGGACUGAGACAAGGCCCUAGGCCCUACGGGGCGCAGCAGGAGCGCAACUUCUACAAUGCGCGAAAGCGUGAUAGAGUCAUCCCAGGUGUCUCCCGCUGAGGGAGGCUUUUCCCCAGUGCAAACAGCUGGGGGAAUAAGGGGGGGGCAAGCCGGGUGUCAGCCGCCGCGGUAAGACCCGCUCCCCGAGUGGUGAGGGUGAUUACUGGGCUUAAAGCGUCCGUAGCCGGCCCUGCAAGUCUCUCGUCAAAUCCAGCGGCCUAACCGUUGGGCUGCGAGAGAUACUGCUUGGCUUGGAGGCGGAAGAGGUCACGGGUAGUCCUCGGGUAGGGGCGGAAUCCUCUGAUCCGAGGAGGACCACCAGUGGCGAAGGCGCGUGGCCAGGACGCGCUCGACGGUGAGGGACGAAAGCUGGGGGAGCGAACCGGAUUAGAUACCCGGGUAGUCCCAGCUGUAAACGAUGCGGACUAGGCGUUGGGGUGGGGAAGGCUUGCCCCGGUGCCGCAGGAAAACCAUUAAGUCCGCCGCUUGGGGAGUACGGCCGCAAGGCUGAAACGUCGCGAGCGAUGGCGCUCUCGACGCAGCUGACUUAAAGGAAUUGGCGGGGGAGCA
rnacentral:rRNA from 1 species